rnacentral:rRNA from 1 species
UACGUAGGGGGGCAAGCGUUGUCCGGAAUCAUUGGGCGUAAAGAGCGUGUAGGCGGCCAGAUAAGUCCGCUGUGAAAUCUCGAGGCUCAACUUCGAGCUGUCGGUGGAAACUGUCUGGCUAGAGUCCGGAAGAGGAGAAUGGAAUUCCUGGUGUAGCGGUGAAAUGCGCAGAUAUCAGGAGGAACACCAAUGGCGAAGGCAGCACUCUGGGACGUGACUGACGCUGAGACGCGAAAGCGUGGGGAGCAAACAGG